UACGUAGGGUGCGAGCGUUGUCCGGAAUUAUUGGGCGUAAAGAGCUCGUAGGCGGUGUGUCGCGUCGGCCGUGAAAACCUGCAGCUUAACUGUGGGCUUGCGGUCGAUACGGGCAUGACUGGAGUUCGGCAGGGGAGACUGGAAUUCCUGGUGUAGCGGUGAAAUGCGCAGAUAUCAGGAGGAACACCGGUGGCGAAGGCGGGUCUCUGGGCCGAUACUGACGCUGAGGAGCGAAAGCCAGGGGAGCAAACGGG
rnacentral:rRNA from 1 species